rnacentral:rRNA from 1 species
GUCCACGCCCUAAACGAUGAUGACUAGUUGUUGGAGGAGUUAAAUCCUUUAGUAACGCAGCUAACGCGAGAAGUCAUCCGCCUGGGGAGUACGGUCGCAAGAUUAAAACUCAAAGGAAUUGACGGGGGCCCCGCACAAGCGGUGGAUGAUGUGGUUUAAUUCGACGCAACGCGAAAACCUUACCUACCCUUGACAUGUACAGAACCUCAUAGAGAUGUGAGGGUGCCAGAAAGGGAGCCGUAACACAGGUGCUGCAUGGCUGUCGU